rnacentral:rRNA from 1 species
UACGAAGGGGGCUAGCGUUGCUCGGAAUCACUGGGCGUAAAGGGCGCGUAGGCGGAUCUUUAAGUCGGGGGUGAAAUCCUGGGGCUCAACCUCAGAAUUGCCUCCGAUACUGGCAGUCUCGAGUGCGGGAGAGGUGAGUGGAAUUCCCAGUGUAGAGGUGAAAUUCGUAGAUAUUGGGAAGAACACCAGAGGCGAAGGCGGCUCACUGGCCCGUAACUGACGCUGAGGUGCGAAAGCGUGGGGAGCAAACAGG